CCUGGGAGGCAGCAGUGGGGAAUAUUGCACAAUGGGCGCAAGCCUGAUGCAGCCAUGCCGCGUGUAUGAAGAAGGCCUUCGGGUUGUAAAGUACUUUCAGCGAGGAGGCGUUACUCGCAGAAGAAGCACCGGCUAACUCCGUGCCAGCAGCCCGGUAAUACGGAGGGUGCAAGCGUUAAUCGGAAUUACGGGCGUAAAGCGCACGCAGGCGGUCUGUAAGUCGGAUGUGAAAUCCCCGGGCUCAACCUGGGAACUGCAUUCGAAACUGCAGGCUAGAGUCUUGUAGAGGGGGGUAGAAUUCCAGGUGUAGCGGUGAAAUGCGUAGAGAUCUGGAGGAAUACCGGUGGCGAAGGCGGCCCCCUGGACAAAACUGACGCUCAGGUGCGAAAGCGUGGGGAGCAAACAGGAUUAGAUACCCCUGUAGUC
rnacentral:rRNA from 1 species